AGAGUUUGAUCCUGGCUCAGGAUGAACGCUGGCGGCGUGCCUAACACAUGCAAGUCGAGCGAGAAAUCUUGGAAUGAAACUUCGGUCGAGUGAAGAGAUGGACAGCGGCGGACGGGUGAGUAACGCGUAGGUAAGCUGCCCUUCACACAGGGAUAGCCUAGGGAAACUUGGAUUAAUACCUGAUGAUGCGGGAUGUUCACAUGGACAACCCGCCAAAGAUUUAUCGGUGAAGGAUGCACCUGCGUCUGAUUAGCUAGUUGGUGAGGUAACGGCCCACCAAGGCAACGAUCAGUAGCCGACCUGAGAGGGUAAUCGGCCACAUUGGAACUGAGACACGGUCCAAACUCCUACGGGAGGCAGCAGUGAGGAAUAUUGCACAAUGGGGGGAACCCUGAUGCAGCAACGCCGCGUGAGCGAUGAAGGUCUUCGGAUCGUAAAGCUCUGUCCUUGGGGACGAACACAAUGACGGUACCCAAGGAGGAAGCCCCGGCUAACUACGUGCCAGCAGCCGCGGUAAUACGUAGGGGGCGAGCGUUAUCCGGAAUUAUUGGGCGUAAAGAGUACGUAGGUGGCUAAGUAAGCGAGAGGUGAAAGCCCGGGGCUCAACUCCGGCGAGCCUUUCGAACUGCUCAGCUUGAGUGCAGGAGGGGAAAGUGGAAUUCCUAGUGUAGCGGUGAAAUGCGUAGAUAUUAGGAGGAACACCGGUGGCGAAGGCGACUUUCUGGACUGUAACUGACACUGAGGUACGAAAGCGUGGGGAGCAAACAGGAUUAGAUACCCUGGUAGUCCACGCCGUAAACGAUGAGGCACUAGAUGUUGGCAUAGCAAUAUGUCGGCGUCGUAGUUAACGCAUUAAGUGCUCCGCCUGGGGAGUACGUACGCAAGUAUGAAACUCAAAGGAAUUGACGGGGACCCGCACAAGCAGCGGAGCAUGUGGUUUAAUUCGAAGCAACGCGAAGAACCUUACCAGGACUUGACAUCCCUCUGACCGGUCGGGUAAAUCUGACCUUCUCUUCGGAGCAGAGGUGACAGGUGGUGCAUGGUUGUCGUCAGCUCGUGUCGUGAGAUGUUGGGUUAAGUCCCGCAACGAGCGCAACCCUUGCCAUUAGUUGCCAUCAUUCAGUUGGGCACUCUAGUGGGACUGCCGGGGAUAACUCGGAGGAAGGUGGGGAUGACGUCAAAUCAUCAUGCCCCUUAUGUUCUGGGCUACACACGUGCUACAAUGGUUGGUACAGAGAGAUGCAAUCUCGUGAGAAGGAGCCAAACUCUAAAGCCAAUCUCAGUUCGGACUGUAGGCUGCAACUCGCCUACACGAAGUCGGAGUUGCUAGUAAUCGCGGAUCAGAACGCCGCGGUGAAUGCGAACCCGGGUCUUGCACACACCGCCCGUCA
rnacentral:rRNA from 1 species